rnacentral:rRNA from 1 species
CAGUCGCCACGGGAAUACGAAGGGGGCUAGCGUUGCUCGGAAUGACUGGGCGUAAAGGGCGCGUAGGCGGAUUGUUUAGUUAGGCGUGAAAUUCCUGGGCUUAACCUGGGGACUGCGCUUAAUACAGGCAGUCUAGAGUGAGGAAGAGGGUUGUGGAAUUCCCAGUGUAGAGGUGAAAUUCGUAGAUAUUGGGAAGAACACCGGUGGCGAAGGCGGCAACCUGGUCCUUGACUGACGCUGAGGCGCGAAAGCGUGGGGAGCAAACAGGAUUAGAUACCCGAGUAGUCCCUGUCUCUUAUAC